AUUGAACGCUGGCGGCAGGCCUAACACAUGCAAGUCGAGCGGAUGAAGGGAGCUUGCUCCUGGAUUCAGCGGCGGACGGGUGAGUAAUGCCUAGGAAUCUGCCUGGUAGUGGGGGAUAACGUCCGGAAACGGGCGCUAAUACCGCAUACGUCCUGAGGGAGAAAGUGGGGGAUCUUCGGACCUCACGCUAUCAGAUGAGCCUAGGUCGGAUUAGCUAGUUGGUGGGGUAAAGGCCUACCAAGGCGACGAUCCGUAACUGGUCUGAGAGGAUGAUCAGUCACACUGGAACUGAGACACGGUCCAGACUCCUACGGGAGGCCGCAGUGGGGAAUAUUGGACGAUGGGCGAAAGCCUGAUCCAGCAAUGCCGCGUGUGUGAAGAAGGUCUUCGGAUUGUAAAGCACUUUAAGUUGGGAGGAAGGGCAGUAAGUUAAUACCUGACGGUUUUGACGUUACCAACAGAAUAAGCACCGGCUAACUUCGUG
rnacentral:rRNA from 1 species